rnacentral:rRNA from 1 species
AUUGAACGCUGGCGGCAGGCCUAACACAUGCAAGUCGAGCGGAUGAAGGGAGCUUGCUCCUGGAUUCAGCGGCGGACGGGUGAGUAAUGCCUAGGAAUCUGCCUGGUAGUGGGGGAUAACGUCCGGAAACGGGCGCUAAUACCGCAUACGUCCUGAGGGAGAAAGUGGGGGAUCUUCGGACCUCACGCUAUCAGAUGAGCCUAGGUCGGAUUAGCUAGUUGGUGGGGUAAAGGCCUACCAAGGCGACGAUCCGUAACUGGUCUGAGAGGAUGAUCAGUCACACUGGAACUGAGACACGGUCCAGACUCCUACGGGAGGCAGCAGUGGGGAAUAUUGGACAAUGGGCGAAAGCCUGAUCCAGCCAUGCCGCGGGUGUGAAGAAGGGCUUCGGAUUGUAAAGCACUUUAAGUUGGGAGGAAGGGCAGUAAGUUAAUACCUUGCUGUUUUGACGUUACCAACAGAAUAAGCACCGGCUAACUUCGUGC